AUGGGCUAUCAAUGGAAGGUGGGAAAUGGGAGAAAAACAAAGUUUUGGGAAGAUCAUUGGUUUGGCUCUUGUAGCUUAGCCAUCCAAUUCUCGGAAUUAUAUAGUAUUGCUAAUGAGCAUAAUUUACCUAUUGAUGGCCUUUGGGGUGGACUAAUCUUAAGAUAA
rnacentral:rRNA from 1 species